GGGGUGUAACGGUACACAUUUGUACCGAACCGUCACGGUACAGGCACUUCGGAGCGGUUACAGAUGUGCACCGCGGUACGUAAAUGUGGCGUACAUAGCGGGCAACGAUCGUCGAAUAGUCGAAGUCACGUAGAACAUCGAAUAAUGAAUGUGACUGUCGUUGUUUAUUACACAGCCCUUCUCAAUGCUGGUGAACGCUCCGUUGACUUGCAUGGGCCUUCAAAACUUCCGGUGGUGAAUAGCGUCCUCGGUUGCUAUGCAACGUCAACGUCUUUGGCGGAUUAUUUCCGAUCAACACUACGAAUGCUGCCUCAGACAGCCCCAAGACCCAAGAACCAAGACCCAAGAACCAAGACCCAAGAACCAAGACCCAGUACCAAGACCCAAGGACCAAGACCCAGGACCCAAGACCCAGUACCAAGACCCAAGGACCAAGACCCAAGAACCAAGACCCAAGGACCAAGACCCAAGAACCAAGACCCAAGAACCAAGACCCAAGACCAAGGGACCAAGACCCGGUAUUAAGACCCAAGUACCAGGGACCAAGACCCAGGGACCCAGAUCCAGGUACCAGACCCAGGCUCUAAGACCUAGACCCCCAGGCAGGCUCCAUAAGUUCCCGUCCCCGUCCCAGGACCGCUAGCCUGGAGGGGGAUGAGAUCAGGCAGCGUGUUGCUAUAAAACAAGGCCCACUUCAUGAGGAAACACCUCCUUUAUCUCUUCAGGUCGAUAUACCAUACAACACAGAACUACCAAAUAUAUAACCCCCCUGCUAAUAAAUAUUUAUUGCAUUAUCAUUAAAGAAAUAACAUUGUAUUUCUAAUAGAUGAAAAGUUGCUGAAUACGAUGCCCCAAGGCUACGAGCAGCGGGAAUCAAACCCAGAACCUCACGGCCGGGAGUCAAGCACAGUAGACCACUGCCUCUCCUCCUGCUAGAUAGUAUAACACAGUAAUAAUACCCUCAGUGGUAACUAUUAGUUAACAAAACAGAAAGACCAUCAGCUCAACAUAUAUAGUACAUGAGUCUCUCUCUCUCUCUCUCUCUCUCUCUCUCUCUCUCUCUCUCUCUCUCUCUCUCUCUCUCUCUCUCUCUCUCUCUCUCUCUCUCUCUCUCUCUCUCUCUCUCUCUCUCUCUCUCUCUCUCUCUCUCUCUCUCUCUCUCUCUCUCUCUCUCUCUCUCUCUCUCUCUCUCUCUCUCUCUCUCUCUCUCUCUCUCCCUCUCUCUCUCCCUCUCUCUCUCUCUCUCUCUCUCUCUCUCUCUCUCUCUCGCUCUUUCAUGGAUGUAGGAUUUGUAUGUAGUACAUGAGUCUGUACUAUAUGAGUAUGAUGUAGUACAUGAGUCUGUACUAUAUGAGUAUGAUGUAGUACAUGAGUCUGUACUAUAUGAGUAUGAUGUAGUACAUGAGUCUGUAGUACAUGAGUCUGUAGUACAUGAGUAUGCCGUACAUGAGACUCUAUCACCUCAGCUGGGUGAGAUCUAGACGCUAGAUGAAUCUCACAGCGUUCACUGUCAGCCUUUGAAGUGGACCCAAGCGGGUUCAAAAUCUCAGGUCAUUGAUUAAUUGGUGCAUUAAUCAGAACGAUUGAUCUGAUGAAGAGGAAGAUGAGGGAGACGAGGAGCUCUGCGGAUCAGAGAUCGUUCCCGUGUUGAUGAUGAUGCUGAUGAUGAUGAUGGCGGUGGUGGCAGGCUGUAGUUAUACAAUGUACUGAUGUACUUUGUGAUGUUUGUUGAGGGAUCACAAGUCUGUCUGUAGUUGUACUCAAGUAGCCCACUGAAAUCUAAUGCUGAGCUGUUUAAACCUGGCUCACUAGUUCUGUUUUAAGGGGAUUUCAAAUGCAGUGUUGCUGCAUUUGAAAUCAAUAUUUAAUUGUGUGUUUCAAUAAAUACAGUCUGACAAAAGGAACACAUAUACUUCUUAACCAGCUUCACACCAGAGGCACAACUGGUUGGUCGGUGCUGUUGAUGUUUCAUUGAUGCUGAGCAGAUAUGGGGACGCACAUUACGGCCGCUAGCACUGUAUCUCGUUAUUGUAAAUCAUAUCUCACAAGAGCUGAUCUGAGGCAGGGGGGGUCUGGUCACCUGAGGGGGGCGUCAUGGGGACACCGGGGUACCAAGAGGGCGCACCGGGCCUCGCCCUCUCCUCUACGAUGGAUCGGGUUUGAACUGGUUUGUGAUUUGGAGGCGUGAUGCAGCGAUGAUGACAUCACUAAGAGAGAGAGAGAGUAGAUG
ensembl:lncRNA